rnacentral:SRP_RNA from 1 species
GCCAGGUGUGGUGGCACAUACCUGUAAUCCCAGCUACUGGGGAGGCUGAGAUGGGAGAAUCGCUUGAACCCAGGAGGCAGAGGUUGCAGUGAGCUGAGAUCACGGCACUGUACUCCAGCCUGGGUGACAGGGUGAGAUCCCAUCUCAA